ensembl:snRNA U4 U4 spliceosomal RNA
AGCUUUGUGCAGUGGCAGUAUUGUAGCCAAUGAGGUUUAUCCAAGGUGCAAUUGUUGCUAAUUGAAAGAAAAAAAUUGCUAAACAUUUUAGCUUUGAUUUUUCUGAAAGGAA